UACGUAGGGGGCAGGCGUUGUCCGGAUUUAUUGGGCGUAAAGAGCGUGUAGGCGGCUUUGCAAGUCCGUUGUGAAAACUCGAGGCUCAACCUCGAGACGCCGGUGGAAACUGCAAAGCUAGAGUCCGGAAGAGGAGAGUGGAAUUCCUGGUGUAGCGGUGAAAUGCGCAGAUAUCAGGAAGAACACCCGUGGCGAAGGCGGCUCUCUGGGACGGUACUGACGCUGAGACGCGAAAGCGUGGGGAGCGAACAGG
rnacentral:rRNA from 1 species